rnacentral:lncRNA from 1 species
AAGGGGACUGGGCCUUGCCUGGACCACCCACCUGGCUUGGGCCAUGCCAGCUGCUCUGCUGCAGUGUGUGGUUGCUCAAGUUUAGCUACAAGGCCAUAUAAGAGUCCUUCCAAGAGGAGGAUGGGGCGAACUUUCCAGCUAGAGUUUGACCUAAGGAAGGAUUUCAAAACUUACCCCUGCAAUGCUUUAACAGCAUUCAAGUCAAAUGGAGGCUUUUCAUACAGUGAAAUCCACAGUAGCUCUCUGUGGUAUGUAGGGCUACUAGCCAGAUAUACCUGAAAGCAAGCGCUUGCCUUGCUCUCCCUCUGCCACAGAACGAUGACACAGGGAUAACAAAGGGAAAUACCAGGGAAUGUCAAGUCAAACAAAUCGUAGAUCUUCUCUGGCGGCUUCUUUGACCUUGUUCUGAGUGAACACCGUGUACAUCAAGGAAGAUAAUUACAACUUUUUCAAGUCUUCUAAAAUCGAAUCCAUUUGGAGUUCUUUCUGAUGCAUUAUGUGAGAAAAACAAGCAAACAAAUGAACACUUAUUUGUAUUUGAAUUGCACUAAAUUUAUACAUGAAACUGAAAAAAACUGAUAUCUUUAUGAAGCUGCAUAAUCCUAUCCAAGGACAGACGUCUCCUUCCAUUUGCUUUUGCUUUACUAAUUUGAAUCUAUGUUAUUUGUUUUGGAUACAUCUGGAAUUGACUUUUUUGCAUGGUGUAAGAGCCAGCUCUUCUUCAGGAUAAGCAUGCCUGGUUUCUUCAACUUAUUCCACAAGAGUGAACAAGUAAGAAAUAACAGUUCUUCCUGGAUCAGCCCUCUCCCGUCUGUCAUCUCCAACAGAUACAAAGCCAGCUUUAAGAAGACCAAACCUACAAAAAUCAUUCAUGCUUUCUGCCUCCAUGUUUUUCUUUCCAACCUAGUUCCUCCAGAAAAUGUAAAAGAGCAACCGAACCGUCAACUGGUACAAUGACUUCUACACAUCAGACCUCGGCCACGCCACAGUCAUCAGAUUAUUCUAUCACAGGGUCUCUCAACCGUGGAAUAUGGUCUCCAAGGGAAACAAGCCACAGAGGGCUCAGGAGCAUUGCUAUAAAGAGUAGGCAAAUGGAAAUCUUUCCCCAAAGGGCACACUGGGAUUGUUAGGCGAGGGCUGCUCAAUCCAUUAAAAGUUUAAACUCGAAAAAAAAAAAGAAAAAAAAAACCUUUUGAAAAAA